rnacentral:rRNA from 1 species
UACGUAGGGUGCAAGCGUUAAUCGGAAUUACUGGGCGUAAAGCGUGCGCAGGCGGUUGUGCAAGACCGAUGUGAAAUCCCCGGGCUUAACCUGGGAAUGGCAUUGGUGACUGCACGGCUAGAGUGUGUCAGAGGGGGGUAGAAUUCCACGUGUAGCAGUGAAAUGCGUAGAGAUGUGGAGGAAUACCGAUGGCGAAGGCAGCCCCCUGGGAUAACACUGACGCUCAUGCACGAAAGCGUGGGGAGCAAACCGG